AACUGGGAACCCGAAUGGAUGAGAGCAACGGCUGUCAGACUUUCAGGGUAAACAGGGAUUGAAUACCAAGAACCGUAGAAUUUGCACACUGCUGGGAUUUGUCUUUCUUGUUUUUGUUGUUUUUUUUUUCAGAGGUACAAGCACAUCCAAUCAUCGACACACGAUGAAUGGGAACAGAAAUCAUCUCAACUAGAUGCCAACGGACAACUAGGAAAAACUCAACGUUUACC
rnacentral:lncRNA from 1 species